GUUUUACUCGGUUGACAGGCC
rnacentral:siRNA from 1 species